UUUAUGGAGAGUUUGAUCCUGGCUCAGGAUGAACGCUGGCGGCGUGCCUAAUACAUGCAAGUCGAGCGAACGGACGAGAAGCUUGCUUCUCUGAUGUUAGCGGCGGACGGGUGAGUAACACGUGGAUAACCUACCUAUAAGACUGGGAUAACUUCGGGAAACCGGAGCUAAUACCGGAUAAUAUUUUGAACCGCAUGGUUCAAAAGUGAAAGACGGUCUUGCUGUCACUUAUAGAUGGAUCCGCGCUGCAUUAGCUAGUUGGUAAGGUAACGGCUUACCAAGGCAACGAUGCAUAGCCGACCUGAGAGGGUGAUCGGCCACACUGGAACUGAGACACGGUCCAGACUCCUACGGGAGGCAGCAGUAGGGAAUCUUCCGCAAUGGGCGAAAGCCUGACGGAGCAACGCCGCGUGAGUGAUGAAGGUCUUCGGAUCGUAAAACUCUGUUAUUAGGGAAGAACAUAUGUGUAAGUAACUGUGCACAUCUUGACGGUACCUAAUCAGAAAGCCACGGCUAACUACGUGCCAGCAGCCGCGGUAAUACGUAGGUGGCAAGCGUUAUCCGGAAUUAUUGGGCGUAAAGCGCGCGUAGGCGGUUUUUUAAGUCUGAUGUGAAAGCCCACGGCUCAACCGUGGAGGGUCAUUGGAAACUGGAAAACUUGAGUGCAGAAGAGGAAAGUGGAAUUCCAUGUGUAGCGGUGAAAUGCGCAGAGAUAUGGAGGAACACCAGUGGCGAAGGCGACUUUCUGGUCUGUAACUGACGCUGAUGUGCGAAAGCGUGGGGAUCAAACAGGAUUAGAUACCCUGGUAGUCCACGCCGUAAACGAUGAGUGCUAAGUGUUAGGGUUUCCGCCCCUUAGUGCUGCAGCUAACGCAUUAAGCACUCCGCCUGGGGAGUACGACCGCAAGGUUGAAACUCAAAGGAAUUGACGGGGACCCGCACAAGCGGUGGAGCAUGUGGUUUAAUUCGAAGCAACGCGAAGAACCUUACCAAAUCUUGACAUCCUUUGACAACUCUAGAGAUAGAGCCUUCGGGGACAAAGUGACAGGUGGUGCAUGGUUGUCGUCAGCUCGUGUCGUGAGAUGUUGGGUUAAGUCCCGCAACGAGCGCAACCCUUAAGCUUAGUUGCCAUCAUUAAGUUGGGCACUCUAAGUUGACUGCCGGUGACAAACCGGAGGAAGGUGGGGAUGACGUCAAAUCAUCAUGCCCCUUAUGAUUUGGGCUACACACGUGCUACAAUGGACAAUACAAAGGGCAGCGAAACCGCGAGGUCAAGCAAAUCCCAUAAAGUUGUUCUCAGUUCGGAUUGUAGUCUGCAACUCGACUACAUGAAGCUGGAAUCGCUAGUAAUCGUAGAUCAGCAUGCUACGGUGAAUACGUUCCCGGGUCUUGUACACACCGCCCGUCACACCACGAGAGUUUGUAACACCCGAAGCCGGUGGAGUAACCUUUUAGGAGCUAGCCGUCGAAGGUGGGACAAAUGAUUGGGGUGAAGUCGUAACAAGGUAGCCGUAUCGGAAGGUGCGGCUGGAUCACCUCCUUU
rnacentral:rRNA from 1 species